rnacentral:lncRNA from 1 species
GUGAGGGUCCUCCAUUCAGGAGUGGGGCUGGGUGAGGCCUGGCAGAAGUGAACACUAGGGAGAUUCCCUCGGGGAAGCAGGAGGGGACUGUGGUUCACCUUGCUGAGCCAGGGUGGGGGCUAAUUCCGGUACUCGCCACCCUCCCCCGAGUCCUGCCCCACCUUCCAGGGGCCCAGCAGGGACCAAGGACAAGUGAGGCCUCCCACCUCACCCCUCCUCUCCCACAGUAACAGAAGGGAUUUACCAAGCAAGACAGAUGGCUGCCCCACAUCAGAGCCCAAGUGUAACACGCUGCCGCCUCCUCCUCACUACCCUCCUCCUGCCCCACAGGCCGCCCUGCUAGGUGAGUGCUUACUGCCAGCACAGCCGCUUCUCCCUGCUGCGUCCCAACCACAGCUGACUGCGCGGACCUCGCCUCUUCAGGGAAGGCCAGCGGCUCCAGGCCUCCUCGUGGCUCACACUGGCUGCCCUGUGACCUACAGCCACUAAGAAUCAGCCUCUGCAUGGUCACGUGCCCGGGCCUGUCCACAGUAGACUCUCAGGAAAUGCUUUUAAACAUUGCAAUCCCUUUAAGCACACCACACCCCUAUACGCCCAUCACAGGGGAACACAGACUUCCCAAGUUCUCUGCACUUC